UGCCCAGACUCCUACGGGAGGCAGCAGUGGGGGAUAUUGCACAAUGGGGGGAACCCUGAUGCAGCGACGCCGCGUGGGUGAAGGAGGGCUUCGGCCUGUAAAGCCCUAUCGGCAGGGAAGAAGCAAGACGGUACCUGACUAAGAAGCCCCGGCUAACUACGUGCCAGCAGCCGCGGUAAUACGUAGGGGGCGAGCGUUAUCCGGAUUCACUGGGUGUAAAGGGAGCGUAGACGGCCAUGCAAGCCAGGGGUGAAAGCCCGGGGCCCAACCCCGGGACUGCUCUUGGAACUGCGUGGCUGGAGUGCAGGAGGGGCAGGCGGAAUUCCUGGUGUAGCGGUGAAAUGCGUAGAUAUCAGGAGGAACACCGGUGGCGAAGGCGGCCUGCUGGACUGCAACUGACGUUGAGGCCCGAAAGCGUGGGGAGCAAACAGGGUUAGAUACCCCGGUAAUC
rnacentral:rRNA from 1 species